GUAAUGUACUCAGCAGUAGGUAGAGUAUAGGGUGGGUAAUGAAUUCGGCAGUACGUAGAGUAUAGGGUGGGUAAUGUAUUUGGCAGUAGGUAGAGUAUAGGGUGGGUAAUGUACUCGGCAGGCGGUAGAGUAUAGGGUGGGUAAUGUACUCGGCAGGAGGUAGAGUAUAGUGUGGGUAAUGUACUCGGCCGUUGGUAGAGUAUAGGGUGGGUAAUGUACUCGGCAGGAGGUAGAGUAUAGUGUGGGUAAUGUAC